CUAAAUGUUUGAGAGCUCAGUGUUUGAACAUUUACCCCUUUCAUUUGCAGGGGAGGCCUUGGGAGCAGCUGAAGAGAGAGGAGCCUUCUAGGUAUCCCGGAAGGUGACAGCCACAGUGUCCGACUCCGGUCUGGCCUCGGUGAUGUUGACUUGGAGUACUCUCAUGAUGACAGGAACCUCUGAGCCAGCCCAGGUGCCCCUCCUCUGCAUCAAAGAUGGAUUCACAUCCCCGGCUGUCGGCAAGAUAAGUGCAGGGCAAAGACCCAGAGAGGGGUUGGGAGUCGGUGCAAGUGUGUGCCUCACCUGGAGGGAUUUUUGAAAUUAGUCCAGUGAAGUGAAUAACCUGUAACAGGUUAUUUGGACACAUGGAAGGAAGGGCUUACUUUGUAUCAUUGGAUUCACGUGUGCAGGGCAGAGCAGUUCCGGUCUGUGUCACGUCCUCUGUCUCAUCCAUGUUUUGUGUCCUUUGUCUCUUAAUUGUGUCACAUGGUGUGUGUCGUCACAGGUGCGGGGUGUCUCACUUGGGGUCAGCCUGGAACUGUUCUGCCCUGCUACUUGGAUCAGUGGGUAGAUAGAAUAUUGCUCAGUCAAACAUCAACAUG